UGCUGUAGCCGGACAUGCCGG
rnacentral:miRNA from 12 species